AGGGCACCACCAGGAGUGGAGCCUGCGGCUUAAUUUGACUCAACACGGGAAAACUCACCCGGCCCGGACACUGGAAGGAUUGACAGAUUGAGAGCUCUUUCUUGAUUCAGUGGGUGGUGGUGCAUGGCCGUUCUUAGUUGGUGGAGUGAUUUGUCUGGUUAAUUCCGAUAACGAACGAGACUCUAGCCUACUAAAUAGAUCGUCGGCUUACAAACGCCGGCGAGACUUCUUAGAGGGACAGGCGGUGAUUCAACCGCACGAAACGGAGCAAUAACAGGUCUGUGAUGCCCUUAGAUGUCCGGGGCCGCACGCGCGCUACACUGAAGUGAUCAGCGUGCUUUUUCAACCUACUCUGUCAAGAGUGGGGAACCCAAUGAACCUUCUUCGUGAUUGGGAUAGGGGAUUGUAAUUGUUCCCCUUGAACGAGGAAUUCCCAGUAAGCGCGAGUCAUAAGCUCGCGUUGAUUACGUCCCUGCCCUUUGUACACACCGCCCGUCGCUACUACCGAUUGAAUGUUUU
rnacentral:rRNA from 1 species